rnacentral:rRNA from 1 species
GGUUAAGCGACUAAGCGUACACGGUGGAUGCCCUGGCAGUCAGAGGCGAUGAAGGACGUGCUAAUCUGCGAAAAGCGUCGGUAAGGUGAUAUGAACCGUUAUAACCGGCGAUGUCCGAAUGGGGAAACCCAGUGUGAUCCGUCACACUAUCGUUAACUGAAUACAUAGGUUAACGAGGCGAACCGGGGGAACUGAAACAUCUAAGUACCCCGAGGAAAAGAAAUCAACCGAGAUUCCCCCAGUAGCGGCGAGCGAACGGGGAGCAGCCCAG